AGGAAGUCGAUUAGAUGCGGGGCCCCAGGUGACCUAACAAGAGACUGCCUCGGUUUGCUCUUCACCCAACUAGCCAGUUCGUCCAGAUUCCAGCACAGAGAUCUGCACGUCUGCAGUGGAAGAAGUAGCUUUCUCACCAGUUCCCAACUGAUAGCCACUAGUGUGGAUCUAUCUUGAGGAAGCUCCCCACAGAUUCAAAGUGCUUCUUACCCUCUUCCCCAUGCCCCAAACCAAACAG